rnacentral:misc_RNA from 1 species
GAUGAAGAACGUAGCGAAAUGCGAUAAGUAGUGUGAAUUGCAGAAUUCAGCGAAUCAUCGAAUCUUUGAACGCACAUUGCGCCCUUCGGUUAUUCCUUAGGGCAUGCCUGUUCGAGCGUCAUUUCAACCUUCAAGCCUGGCUUGGUGUUGGGCGCUGUCCCGCCUCCGCGCGCGGACUCGCCCCAAAUGAAUUGGCAGUCGCACCCUCCGAGCCGCGAGCGCAGCACAAGUCGCGCGGGCGGAACUCUGGGGGGACGGACGCUCCACAAGACCCUUUCUCAGUCUUGACCUCGGAUCAGGUAGGGAUACCCGCUGAACUUAAGCAUAUCAAUAGCGGAGGA